rnacentral:sRNA from 1 species
CUCAGGGAGUUUUGCAUGCUGUUCAAUUGCAGGAUAAAGAGCCAUUUACUCCCAAGAAUU